rnacentral:rRNA from 1 species
GAUGAACGCUGGCGGCGUGCCUAAUACAUGCAAGUCGAGCGAACGGACGAGAAGCUUGCUUCUCUGAUGUUAGCGGCGGACGGGUGAGUAACACGUGGAUAACCUACCUAUAAGACUGGGAUAACUUCGGGAAACCGGAGCUAAUACCGGAUAAUAUUUUGAACCGCAUGGUUCAAAAGUGAAAGACGGUCUUGCUGUCACUUAUAGAUGGAUCCGCGCUGCAUUAGCUAGUUGGUAAGGUAACGGCUUACCAAGGCAACGAUGCAUAGCCGACCUGAGAGGGGGAUCGGCCAAACUGGAACUGGAAAAAGGUCCGAACUCCUAAGGGAGGCAGGAGUAGGGAAACUUCCGGAAUGGGGGAAAGCCUGAAGGAGUAACGCCGCGUGAGGGAUGAAGGUCUUCGGAUCGUAAAACUCUGUUAUUAGGGAAGAACAUAUGUGUAAGUAACUGUGCACAUCUUGACGGUACCUAAUCAGAAAGCCACGGCUAACUACGUG